GGAGCUACAGUUUUGAGCGGGACGAAGAAGGCUGCAGCCAAGCCGCCGCCUACCAGCGGAUCUGUCAAUAAGACCCCCAGCCCAAGGCUGGGACGCGGCGGGGUCUCCGCUGGGCCCAGGCGCCCUGACAGGAGAGAGGAACGCACAUUUCCCCCCCAUUUCCGAACUGAGCUGCCUUUGCAGUUUUCCCGACCCUCGGAUGGCCGUCUUCUUUUGAUAAGAAACUUAAGUGGAUGGAAAAUUCAGGGACCCGGAGUAACGGGUGCCUCCGGUCGGAGUUAGUCCUCCCCCACCCCAGGCACCCAGCCAUCUACCUUUGACUCUGCUUCUCGAGGGCCCCAGGAAAGUGUUUCGCAUGCCUGCUGUCCUCCCUGGGCGCCUCGUCUCGGUGCGUCUUUUUAGGUGGGAAUAGGACCGGCCACUCCUGGCGCUUCCUAGCUGGCUGCGUGGGGCGGGGACAGGCUUUUGAGGUGGUAGCGGGCUCCUAGGAAAGAUGCUGGACUUUCGCUUCUUGUUCGAGAUUUGUCCUUAGCCUUCCCGGCGUUGUCCUUUCGGAGGGGGAGGGGUGUUCAGGGUGAGAUAAAAGAUGGGGCUUUGAGCUAACUAUUUUCUUGUCUGAUCGAAACCUUGAAACUUGUCUCGAAGAAAGAAAGCAAUCUGUGAAACUAUUGAUGUUUGCCUCCAGAAAAGUCUUUUAGGACAACUUUACUGGUAAUUUUGAUAGCCCCACCUUUUCUUGAGAACUCUUGACGCUGAGGCGGAGAGAAAAAAGAGGAAUUGUCUUUUCCGUUAGUGAUUUUUUUUUCUUAGCUGUUGGUGUUUAUCAACUGUUAGUCUCAGCUUAUGAAUAAAGGGAGCUAGUGACGGCUUUAACGGUAAUACUUCAUGGGUAAUAAUAGCAUUUAUAAAAAUCCCAUUUUAAGCGUUCAUUACAUAUCGAAUACCUUUUCUGCGCUGAAGGCACCACUAGAUUAACUCUUCGAUGGUGGGAUGUUUUGCGUGUGGGGCGCACGGCUCUGCAUUGAAAAUAUCGUGGAGAUGCUUUUUGCAGCAGCUAUUCAAUUCGCAAAGAGGAAUAACGCUUCCUGGGAACAGCAGUGACACGCUCUUUAGGACUGUCAGCCUAUGGAGUUUAACUCUGAAAGCAAUACAACGAUUAAUUUCGUAUAUUUCCAUGAAGACUGGGGGACCCACCCUCACUCAGUAUCUUUUCCGGAGGAGAAUAGGAGAACGAAAUGUAAUGUUUUUCAAAUUGUAUCUAACGCAGCGCUCUAAAUCCUGGACUUCUUUACCUACUGAUUGGCUGGAAGGAAGCGGGACUGGGGGGGUGUUGAAUGUUAAACGCUAGAUUAUUUUUCUCGACCUACCGUAAAAUUGUAUUAUUAGUAGAAGAACCACAGAAAUAGGUACAAAACGUUAAGACAGGGAGUUAAAGAAAAGUUAGUGUUUAAUAGGUUUUUUUCCUUCCAUAGGGGACUUUCGGAUGGUUCUGAAAUGUAUAUUAAAAGUAAAACUGAAGGGGCUGUUUUCCCAAAGUUGUAUUUCUGCUGGCUGAAAUUACAAAACCUAUGUAUUUGCUGUGUUCCUAUUGGUUAAAAACUAAGUGAAGGAUUUAGGGUGUUUUUUUUCCUUAGAUAAAAAAUUUCCAUUUUAAACUACAUGUAUUUGCUGAAUGCAGAUGACUGGAGAGUUAUUUUGAUGAAAAGAAACUUUAAUUUUCUUAAUGCUAAAUCAUUUUUUCCACAUGCUCCAUAAAAUUGCAUAUAUUUUUAGAAUUUUCCUUAAUUCAGUCAUUGCAGUGGAGUUUAAAUUUUAAUUUGCAAGACUUAUGUUUAAUUUAGCUAAUAGAACAAGUAAGUAUGAACAGGUGCAUAGUAUAUGUGAUUGCAUUCCUUUGAUAAAAAAAUAUAUCUUAUACCUCAGUGCAUGUGUUUUAUUUGGUUGGUUUUCAAUUGAUUUUUGUUUAUUGUUGCUUGAGACAGCCAUCAAUAUAUUAUCAAGCUUGUCAUUCCAUUUAAUUGCGUCUUGAUAUGAGGCGGGUGUGGUUUUUAGAGAAAAGACAGUAAACUAACAACUGUGCUAACAACUGUUGCUGCUUUAGAAAAAUUUUAAAUUUCACAAGAAUAUAUAUCCUUUUAUGAAUAGUAAUUGAAAUUUUGAAAGUGUAUUUUAUAUUAAGUCAAAUACACAUUGUAAGAAAAUAUUCAUAUAAAAACAUCUAAGACUUACAAACUCUAUAGGACUGUAAAUUUAUAUAAAUAAGCAGUAUAGUUGAGUAUAAAUUAUGCUAUUUUGUAUUGUGUUCAUAACAAUAAUUGUGAUCAUUGAACCCGUAUUCAUUACCUUUUUUUCAAAGCUCUGUUUUCGAUCAUUUCUUGAAAAUUUUCUAAGAGGUGCUGCCUAUCCUCCAAAAUUUGAUGUAAUGAAAUUUGUAGGAUAUCUCAUUUCUGUUUUAAAUGUCUUUAUACCUAGAGUACCAGGAAUAGUGGGGCUUGAUUUUUAUGAUUGGCCUUUGUUUUUGUAUUUUAAUUUUCAUUCCCUUGUGUGACUGGGAGAGUGUUUACGGGUAGGGGGAAACUUUGGAUUCCUCUGGACUGGUUAAGUGUACUUUUUUAGAGCUUUAGUUUAUGGGUGAUGGGUGAAGAUUAUUUUGUUUAAUAAGGCACAGUUUGAAAGAAGUGUUGAAUUCCCUUAAGAUACUUAAAGGUUUUGAACACACUAUCACCCAAAUAAAAUCUACACCAUUCAAAAUAUUUUCCCUAUUAUGUGAUGCUGGGUAAAUAAAGGAAGAUUUUGGUGUUGUACUUGCAAACAUGUAGGUUUUAGUCCAAAGGAUAAAUUUUUUUAAUGUUUAUAUGCGGUUAGUUAUCUGUGUUUCUCUAUAGAAAUUGAUACAGUAGUUCUAACUUGUUUUCUGCUCUAUUGUAAGGACCGAGAAAGUCAUUACUACAGGAAAACAAUGGUGGGGAAUGAUGCUGCUACAGUAGUUCAUCUUUUCUUUAAAGCUAGAUUUACAUACUGUGGGGAGAGGGAACAAGAAAAGGUAUCAGACUUAUAAUAUUUCAUUAGGCCUUACAGCUGUUUUUUUGUUAAAUCCAAGUAAAAGUCUAAUUUUAGACUUUUUUUAAUGCUGUUGACUGGUCUUCAUUGUAUAUUUCCAAAAUGUAGCCUCGAGUGUUUGUAUAUAAUACUGUGUAUUUUCUAAUCAGAUUAAUAUCAGUUUUAAUGUUUAUCAAGAACCACAUCUAAGGAUGAAAAUUUCAGAGUAGCUUUCGCAUUCUGGAUUCCUUGUUUUGUGUACUACAUUUUUGGUUUUGUUUUAUGAAGGCAUAUGUAAAUUUUUAUUUCUAUUUAUUGGUUCCUAGUAACUAUUCAGAAUGUCACAAAAUAUUUUAAUUAUGAAAUAUCCGUCAGUUGGUUGAGUUUACAAAAAGAAAAAAAAAUCACCAGAGACCAUAUUAGCUAUUUCUUCUAUGACACAUAAGCUUUCACCAAUUGGAUUGUAAAUUUAGUUUUGAAAAAGUCAGUUGUAUUCUUAAACUAUUACUGACUUAAAAUGGUUUCUUGUCUUCCUUUUUUCCUUUUGUUUAGUGACAACUUCACAUUGAUUUCUUUUUUACCCUUUUUGGGAGAAAGAUUAGUCUGAUUAUAACUAGAACACACAUGUUAGGAUUGUCAGAAUAUAUGUGUAGUUUUGUCUCGUUUCUUUUUUUUUUUUUUCAAACUGAGCAAACUUAGAAACACUGUGCUUUACAGCUAAUUUUGGCACAUAAUUAGAAGUCUAAAACUGUGAUUGCUGAAAUUUUGUUGUCCCAAAUCUCAUGAGGCCAAAGAAAAUCAGUAAUCAAAUACUACUUUAUUUCGAAUAAUGUUGAAAAGAAGAUAAAGUGACAGCCGUUACAUUAAAAUGGAGAUUGUUAGGCUAAUAACAUCAUAUUUAGAAUAGCAUAUUACUAAUAUGUGUAACAACCUGAUUGUAUGUGCAAAAGACUGUAGAUCUAUAAAUAGUGCUUUCUGGUAGAAAAAUGACUUUUUUUUUACCCCAUAGUGUUUGCUUGUUUCACUUUUGGUGUUUUUCUAGUAGUAUUAAAGAUGUUUUUAAGUGUCUUCCUUUUAAGAAACACAAAAUAAUGGAAUUGACACUAAAUACAUAUUUUGAUUUUUUUCUUAAUACUUUAGUCAUAAGAAGUUUAAUACACUUUUGUUUAAUCCAUCUUAUUUUCACUAGAGAAUGUUUGCAUUAGAAAGACUUGUAGUGGUUUCUAAAUAUUAAUAAUAAGCUGUGAUUAGAGUUUUACUGUCUGAAGGCCUUUUAAUACCACAUGUUUAUCAUACCCAUUUAGUUUAAUAUUUUUCUUAUUUAUAUCCGGACCUCUUUUGUCAUUAUGUAGCGUUUUUUUUGUUUCCCUACUGUUUAAGAACUUACACUGCUACAUUAAAAAUUUAACAUUUAGGAUUUUUUCUGUAUUUUUAAACAAUAUACCUUAAUUUUCAGUGUGCUCAAAAUGUAGAAAACUUUUAAUUUUUAAAAAAAUUAUGCUAUUUGAAAUGGUAUUUGUGAGAUACAUGAUUGUGUGGUUUUUGUCAUUAAGCUCAAAUAUUUGAGUUGGGAAUAAAAGGGUUUUGGGUUUUGAUUUUUUUGUUGUUGUUUGUUUUCCUAAGCCGUUCUUAAAUAAAAGUGGAAAACUCAGAGCACUGUGUAAUUUAAACCUUGGUUAAAAAAUAAACCUUGGUAAUUUAUUAUUUUUAUAUAGUUAAUUGCUACUAAAUCAUUAAGAUUCAGAAAGAUGAAGUAUAUAAAAACAAAACACUUAUCUACUCAAAUCUCACCUCCACUUGGAAACGUUAAAAAACUAUUUGGUUCAGUAGCUAUCCACUAGUUAUUUGUAAAUAUUUUAAUUAUUUUAAAAAAUCUGAAAUUUUGAUGUUACAACUGUAAUGUGUUAAAAUACUUGGAAAUGUCCAAAUAUUCACUCAGGCUUGGUAAAAAAUUAAAGUUGAAAAUAAUGGUAAGUUCUGUUAUCAUUAAUUCAUUUGAUAAUUUGAGGGAAAAUGUAGUUAAAUUUUGUCCCUAUCCCUUGAGUAAUUUUUUAAGCUUUGUGGACUUUGAGUUUUAGAGCACAAACUAUAAUCUGAUUCUUUUUAAAGUCCCUUCUGCUGGUUCUCUACCUUCAUACAUGCAUCCAUGCUGCUUUGAAAACAAAUGCCCUAAAGAGAAAUGAAAGCAGAAACAAAUUCUGAUUUGUGUGAAGAGGCUUCGGAUGACAAAGCAUAUCACAGGUGUUCCUCAUUAAGUUAUUUCUAUUUUUGAAACAUUAUUUUCACUGUUAGGGCUUCUUUGAGCAUUGGCAUCAUUGGGGGCAUUUUGUAGACUACUUCUGUGUUCAGGGAUCAGCUGUGGAACUGCAGGAGACAAAUCUGUUGAGUGUCUUCAUGCUAUAAUACAUGACAUUUUUAUUGCAGGUUUUGACCUUUAAGAGAGCCAAUUCUGGAAAACAACCAAACUUCUUUGAUUGAAUACUCACAUGCGUUGGAACAUGAUUAGGAGAUUAAGGUAUCUUUCACUUGGCCUUAAUGAGUUAAAUGAAGAAAAAGAAACACCAUGAGUUAUAUUGUUUAAUAAUAAAAUGAAGACCAUAGUAAAACAGCCUCCUUCUUAGCCCAGCAAUUCUUAUUUUUUAUUUCAGAUCAUAUGUAUGUUAGAGGGUUGACAUUGUGAGCAUAGAAGAUCAUCCAUUGAACUCAAUAAAUUAAGAGGUUUGGAGGGAGUGAGGGAUCAAUUAAGUGCUGAAAAAGUACAAGCCAAAUGCCACAGGUCAGAUAUUUUUCUAAUUUUUUUCCUUUAUAUUUUUGUCUCUGGAAAGUUAGAGUGGAAACAUUUGCAAAUCCCUAAAGAAUCCUAUAUAAUCCAGAGUUGAGUUGUUUAAUUGGUCCCUUAGAAGCCAGCUUAGCUUUUCUUCAACUUAACUCCUAGGAAAAGAAAUCUUUUAUAUUGGUAUUAUAUUUCUACUGUAAAUUGGAGGGUGAUCCACUUUUCAAAAAGAAAUAGCUAUCGUUUACCUCCUGAUUUAGAAGCACAGAUAACACCAUACACUUUACCUCAUUUCAUCUCCUUUACAAAUUUCUAAGCAAAUCAUCUUUCUUGGCUGUUUUCCAGUGUCUUUCAAAUAUUAGGUCACUUGCCAUAUCUUAUAGUUGGAAUGCUUUCUAUUGUGUGUUCUACAUAGGUACUUUGUGUGGACUUUUCUUAUUGUAAAUCUUAGAUGGUAUUUAUUUCCAAUUAAACAAUAUCCAGAAAAAUAGGUACAUAGUGACAGUACUUGGUGAUGCUGUUUGAUUUUUGGUGUGUCCUUUCUCACUUUUAGUGUUUAUUUAAUGCCAUAGUGGUUCUGAUGGGGAUUUUUAAGAAACUAUUAAGUUAUGGGGUGUAUGUUUUCCAGAAAUGUUCAUAUAUUCAGUACUGUCAAAAUUAAAUAAUGGCAGUGCUUUGGGUUCUUUGUUCCAUAUUGAGUAAAAAUUCUUCAAGAUUGCAUUUCAGUGUAAACAUCUGACACUUUUGUUGCCAACAAAGACUGAGAAAUAGUCAUAGCUUUCCUUCCUCCUCUUCCUCCCCUUUGCUGUACUAGAGGUUGACCACAGGACCUUCACACCGAGCUAUACCCCCAGUCCUUUUCUGUUUUGAGAUAGGAUCUCCCUAAACUGCCCAGGCUGACCUCAGCCUCCCAAGUAGUUGGGAUUACAGAUGUUUGCCUCUGCCUGGUUGCCACCUUUUUGAACCAUUUAAUUUUCACAUUGCAUUUUUAAAUACAUAUACCUAAAUUACGUAUUUCUGUUAUGUGAGUUUAACUGUUGUUUAGAUCUUUAAACAUCUUUAGGGAAUUGUGAGCAGUUAAGAACAUUAUAUUAUCUUUUAAAUCUCAAAUAACAAAGAUUUUAAGACACUGACUUUAUAAAUAGGCAGACAGGAGAUAAAGCAGAAAAGUCACCAUUCAGUGCUAUGUUGGUAAUCCUGCAAAUUACUUUAGUUGAGACAAAUUACUCCUAACUUAACAGACUUACAAAUUUGCCUAUCUUGAGAAUAAAGAGAAAUGACAAACUAUUUCCCAUGUAGGACAAGUUAUCGAGAAAUUUUUAGAAAUAUUGAGUCAGCAAUAAAAUAGCAAUGGCACAUAAGGAUGCCAGUCUAGAAAAUAUUGUCAGUUGCAGGGGAAUGGGGAAAAAAUAAGAACCAAGAUAAAUCAUGUAAAGGUACAAAUUCCCAAUGAUGAAUGUAACUAUAUUGUAUACCUAAAAUGUACCAAUAAACUUAAUGAAAAAAAAUAUUGUCAGUUGUUGAAUUAUAAAUAGUAUAAAUAUAGUAUGAACUCAAUACUGGGAAAAGAAUGUUUUAAUCAGUGGGGCUGUUAUUGAAGAUAUACAGCAAGUGAUAGUAAGAUGUUUUACUUUUGAUAAAAAUAUAAAUUGUGCACUAGGCAGCUGAAAAUCUGGUUUUUAAUUUAUUUGUGAUAGAAAUUUAGUCUUUUGUAAAUCACUGUCUUCCUGUGCCACUCAAGAGAAAAUUUUAAUUACCUUAAAUAAUUUUUUUGUGGUACUAGUGGUAAAGAGGUAAGAUGAAUUACUAUUUAGUAAAUAUAUCAAUUCGAAACCCUUUAAGUUACAGAUUGUUCUGUAAUUUAAAAAAUUUAUUUUUAGGUAGUUCUAGAAAUUGAACCCAGUACCUUUGCACUGAGCUACCUCCCAGCCCCUUUUGUAUUUUUUAUUUUAAGACAGGGUGUCACUAAGUUGCUAAGUUUCCCAGGCUGUGCUGGAACCUGAAAUCUUCCUGCCUUAGCCUCCUAGAAUGCUGGGAUUGCAAGUUCAUGCUGCCAUGCUCAGCCUAUAAUUUAUGAAUAUAGGAAAAGUUCACAAAAUACUAUAAUUGUUUUUUGAUCAUUGUUCAAAUAACUGCUAUUUUUAGGAAUUACACAAUGUUAAAUGUCAGGUAUUCAUUGUCUUCAAAGCCUUUAUAGUUGCCGUAUACUGUAUGUUUAACAGAAUAACUGAGUUAAAGCUGAGCUUUCAUGUUUCUCAUAGGUGGUUUCUUAUAUUCUCAAAAUAUUGCAGCAAUAAAAUUAAUUGUAGUGCAAAAAUUAUGGAAUUGUGUUUUCCUACCCUGAACAACUUCUCAGCUUGUAGAGGAAAUCAAAGAAAAAUAAUAAUUUCUUAUUUAUUAAGUUAUAUUGGAUGUUUUCUUAGGAAAAUUCAUUCAAGGCAAAAUUAUAUUCCACAUGUUUGAUUUAAACAGAAACUUAUACAAAUAUAAUGAAUUCUGAUGAGUAGGGCUUUGAAGCUCUAAGCAUAAAUAUAGUAGGUAACAUUCCCAGAUCAUUUGGUAUAAUUUUAGCUACUGUUAGUCUGAAACUUGAGAGUUUAAGUUUAUCUCCAUGGAAAAAGAGAAAUAAAUUGAAUGCAGAAUUGAAAUACAUGUUCGUUUGUUAGUUUCCACACUUGUUUCUCCAAGACUUAUCAGUUUCAAUCUUCCAUUAAAACCAAUUAGUUUAUGUUUAUUUUUGUUAUUAAAACAAUUUUUUUACUAUUUCACAUUAUUUGUCAUACCUUUUGGUCCUUAUUUACACUUUCAGUUUCUCACACCAGAGGAAGAAAAGGGAC
rnacentral:lncRNA from 1 species